rnacentral:rRNA from 1 species
GAUGAACGCUGGCGGCGUGCCUAAUACAUGCAAGUCGAGCGAAUGGAUUGAGAGCUUGCUCUUAUGAAGUUAGCGGCGGACGGGUGAGUAACACGUGGGUAACCUGCCCAUAAGACUGGGAUAACUCCGGGAAACCGGGGCUAAUACCGGAUAACAUUUUGAACCGCAUGGUUCGAAAUGGAACGGCGGCUUCGGCCGUCACUUAUGGAAGGAACCGCGUCGCAUUAGCUAGUUGGUGCGGUAACGGCUCACCAAGGCAACGAUGCGUAGCCGACCUGAGAGGGUGAUCGGCCACACUGGGACUGAGACACGGCCCAGACUCCUACGGGAGGCAGCAGUAGGGAAUCUUCCGCAAUGGACGAAAGUCUGACGGAGCAACGCCGCGUGAGUGAUGAAGGCUUUCGGGUCGUAAAACUCUGUUGUUAGGGAAGAACAAGUGCUAGUUGAAUAAGCUGGCACCUUGACGGUACCUAACCAGAAAGCCACGGCUAACUACGUGCCAGCCGCCGCAGUAA